rnacentral:rRNA from 1 species
GACGAACGCUGGCGGCGUGCUUAACACAUGCAAGUCGAACGGAAAGGCCCUGCUUUUGUGGGGUGCUCGAGUGGCGAACGGGUGAGUAACACGUGAGUAACCUGCCCUUGACUUUGGGAUAACUUCAGGAAACUGGGGCUAAUACCGGAUAGGAGCUCCUGCUGCAUGGUGGGGGUUGGAAAGUUUCGGCGGUUGGGGAUGGACUCGCGGCUUAUCAGCUUGUUGGUGGGGUAGUGGCUUACCAAGGCUUUGACGGGUAGCCGGCCUGUGAGGGUGACCGGCCACAUUGGGACUGAGGUACGGCCCAGACUCCUACGGGAGGCAGCAGUGGGGAAUAUUGCACAAUGGGCGGAAGCCUGAUGCAGCAAGGCCGCGUGCGGGAUGACGGCCUUCGGGUUGUAAACCGCUUUCGCCUGUGACGAAGCGUGAGUGACGGUAAUGGGUAAAGAAGCACCGGCUAACUACGUGC